UACAUGUGAUGCUUAGUGCCAUAACUGACAAGGGCAGCCAAUGCCCACACUCACUGGCCAUCAGGGCCCUCAAUGACAGACAGAACCAAUAAACAUCCAGGCAGGAGUCAAAACAAGCCUUCACUUCAUGUUAUCUCCAAAGUUUCAUUCAGCCCUCACUCAAGGUCUGUAGGAAAAGAUUUCAAAAGCACAGUGAUUCUGUUGACACCUGAUCACAAUCGUUCCCAGUACAUAUAUUUUAUCACCAACUGGUUCUUGGGCUAGCCGAAGUUAGCCUAGGCUAACUCAUAUUUGUAAUCAGGCUCAAAAAUCAUAUUCUAUCUUUUCUCCUCACUCUAACUCCCGGUAGUCAAUUAAAGGUACAGUUCCCAUGGCUACUGGAUACUGUACUGGUACAGCUCUCCAGGACCUCUCAUGGCAUUCCCAGUCUACACUAGGGAAUCUGACAUUUUCAUUUCCCAGUGGCAUAUGAUGUCACAUGAGACCCAAGUAUCCGCACUACCCGAAGUCUCCACAAAUUCCAAUGGCCUGCACUUGUACAGUUUGGGUUUUUGAUAGAUAAAGCACGUAUGAGAAGAGAAAACAAAAUAAAUCAACUUCAGCAGAAAGAAAGCCAGCACUGUGCUGUCAAUGUUUUUUUUUUCCCUUUCCCUUUUUAUUUCCAGUUCUAGCUUCAAAAAGCAGAAGGUAAAUAAUGUCAGGUCAAUGAAUAUCAGAUAUAUUUUUUGACUGUACAUUAAAGUGACGUGUAAUCUUUUUACACCUGCAAGUCCAUCUUAUUUAUUCUUGUAAAUGUUCCCUGACAAUGUUUGUAAUAUGGCUGUGUUUAAAAGAAAUCUAUACAAUAAAGCUGUGACCCUGA
rnacentral:lncRNA from 1 species